rfam:Trichobilharzia regenti genome assembly, scaffold: TRE_scaffold0012960
AUUCAGAUGACGAGUCACAAAUAGGACGAAAUGCGCAUCGUUGAU